rnacentral:misc_RNA from 1 species
UCAAACUUGGUCAUUUAGAGGAAGUAAAAGUCGUAACAAGGUUUCCGUAGGUGAACCUGCGGAAGGAUCAUUAAAGUGAAUUUUAGGUCAAUGUAGACCUUAAAUCUGAACUUGUGGUAAGAAAUGUGGGGUGUUUGGGUUUAAAAAUGGCACAGUUUUUUUUGAAUGAAUGAAUGCUCUAAAUUUUUUUUUAGAGAUAGUUCUUAAUUGUGACGACCUGACGCAUGAACUCUUUAUUUGAUUUGACUGAAAUAUAAAAUUAAAUUUAAUCCAAUUUAUGGGGAUUAAAAGAAAAGUUUUAAAUAACUUUCAACAACGGAUCUCUUGGUUCUCGCAUCGAUGAAGAACGCAGC